rnacentral:rRNA from 1 species
ACCAUCGAUAUUGGAGAAAGCGACAAGAAUGGCAAGGGAAGCACUAGAGCUGGGACAUCAGGACCUAGGGCACCAAAGAUACAUUGGCCUCAAGCUUUAUCAGAGUUCGUACUUGAUUGGUACAUUGAGAAGAAGAUGGAGCUGCCACCAAAGGCGGUGUUUAAGAAGCUGCAUCACAAUGCAUGUACAAAAGCAGUAAAUGAGAAGUAUGGCAGUACCUACACUUUUGAACAAGUUCAUCGUCACUUUAGACAUCAUAAAGAGACUUGGGCACUUGUAGCUCGCCAUAUGAAUGCUAGUGGUAAUGGCUGGGAUAAUCUGACAAAAAUGGUUACUCUCUCCAAAACUGCUUUGGAUGAACGGUCGGUAAUGACCUUUAUCACUUGA